AUGAACCAUGUGCUAAAAAAAGGGUUUGUCAAGGGGACCCAAAACCUACACAAGUUUGCUAGGCGGGUCUAUGCUUGCAUACAAACUUGGAUGCAGAAGGAGAACGAGCAAACAAUGACCAGCAUGACCAAUCCUGUGACAAAAACAACUUACGGCUACGAGGAAGACAUGUCUAUCAAGUACACGAGAGCUGUGUACACCGAGAUGAGGAAUAGGAUGAGAAAGGCCACUCUAUUUCGCGCAAAGCAUACAGCAGAGCCCACUAAGUACCUUGUGUACUACCACAACAAGCCUGGCCAUGAUGAUGAAGAAAGAUUUUCCUGGUCAAAGCAUGAAUUCCAGGUUGUAGCUGACCCAGAGAAUGAAAUAUACGAGUGUGAAUGCAAGCUCUGGACACACACAGGCCUGUUCUGCCUUCACAUCAUGAACAUACUGGACUACCUCAACCCUGAAAAAUUUCCAAACAAGUAUAUCCUCAAACGGUACACAAAGACUGCAAGAUCACAACCAACCAUUGAUACAAGGGACUACAACACAACCGCAUCGGAUGGCAGCUCAAGGCUAUCGAAGCAAGACAUCUUGCUACAGCUGAAUUUGAUGGUUAACAAGAAAGCGAUGAGAUGUGACCAGCAAUAUGACAGAGCCUACUAUGUUCUCAAGAGGCUUGUGGAAGAGCUUGAUGCAAUACAUUUAGCAAAUCAAGCGGAUGCUGACGAAAGGAUGGGUGAAGAGGACGCUGAAAUUGAAGAGGACCUUCAUUAUUAUGCAGCUGAAAUGCUCAACGCCGCCACUGAAGCCAACCAAUGCAAGCAGGUUGCUGAAAAGACAAGCAAAAUGCCACAGAAGAAACAGAAAGCAAGACCUAGAGCCAACAACAAUAAGGUGGUGGAAGAUGAAGAGGAAGACGAAGAUGAAGACAACGUCGAAGAAGAGGAAGACGAAGAGGAAGAGGAAGUGGAAUGCGACGAUGAAGAGGAAGAGGACGAUGAAGAGGAAGAGAACAUUAUGUCAAACCCUGGUAAUAUACACUGUGAAGUUCAAGUAAUAUUACUGCAGAAGUCCUGUUCAAGUAAUAUUACUGCAGAAGUCCUGGAGGUGCUCAUGUUGUAUUCCAUAAAAGAGCAACCAGCAAAUAAUCAUACAGUUUUGAAGUUCAUGUCAGCUUACAGAAGAAGUUCUGGUAUGUAA
rnacentral:rRNA from 1 species